rnacentral:lncRNA from 1 species
CCCUGCAUCGGACCGAAGUCCGGGCUAACUGGGGCCUUGCCCCCUGCAUCAGACCGAAGUCCGGACUAACUGGGACCUUGCCCCCUGUAUCGGACCGAAGUCCGGGCUAACUGAACAGAACAUAGCAUAAACAUAUCAACUAGCAUGAACACACAUAUACUGCAUACUACAUCGGGCCGUGGCCCGGAACACAUAACACAUAAUUCUUGUCUGAGCCACGAAGGCAUCAAACAUACUAAAUACUGCAUCAGAUCAAAAUCCGGAAACUGCUACUAGCUAAACGGGUCGGCAUUGUGGCCUUAGACCCGUUCCUACUGGAAGGAAACUCACCUGAACUGCUGAGCUCUGCUGAUAAACCUCUGGCUGCUACUCGACAAUCCCCUGAACCGCUGCUCCUCUAGCUCUCCGAGCUAUCAAUAUACAUAUAACACUUAGUCUGACAGUCAACUAAGUCAACUCUGGUCAAAGUCAACCUUCCAGGUCAACCCUACUCGCCGAGUCCUCCUAAUGACUCGCCGAGUUCAUAAGCUCAGGGUCUUUCUAUUCGCGACUCGACUCGCCGAGUCAUUCUAUGACUCGCCGAGUCCAAC